UGGGGAAUUUUGGACAAUGGGGGAACCCUGAUCCAGCCAUCCCGCGUGUGCGAUGAAGGCCUUCGGGUUGUAAAGCACUUUUGGCAGGAAAGAAACGUCGCGGGUUAAUACCCCGCGAAACUGACGGUACCUGCAGAAUAAGCACCGGCUAACUACGUGCCAGCAGCCGCGGUAAUACGUAGGGUGCAAGCGUUAAUCGGAAUUACUGGGCGUAAAGCGUGCGCAGGCGGUUCGGAAAGAAAGAUGUGGAAUCCCAGAGCUUAACUUUGGAACUGCAUUUUUAACUACCGGGCUAGAGUGUGUCAGAGGGAGGUGGAAUUCCGCGUGUAGCAGUGAAAUGCGUAGAUAUGCGGAGGAACACCGAUGGCGAAGGCAGCCUCCUGGGAUAACACUGACGCUCAUGCACGAAAGCGUGGGGGAGCAAACAGGAUUAGAUACCCUGGUAGUCCACGCCCUAAACGAUGUCAACUAGCUGUUGGGGCCUUCGGGCCUUGGUAGCGCAGCUAACGCGUGAA
rnacentral:rRNA from 1 species